rnacentral:lncRNA from 10 species
CAGUCGCGCGAAGCCAGAGAGGACCCUGGGCGUGAUUCUCCCUCCCUGGCACAGACGGAGACCCGAGUGACCCCGGGGUCCGGGUGGGCGUGGGGAAUGGACCCAUAGACCCGGGACGAGCGGCGCGGAGCCCGCAGCUGGCCAGCUUCAGCCACCUUGGGAGACGCAGUGCAGCUGCCGCUGCUGACAGACAAGACCAAGGCUCGGCUGGGCCCCACCCCAGAUCCGGCCUGAGCGCCUUCCGCGCUGCUCGGCCUCAAGGCGUGAGUCACCAAGGGCAAGUCCCGUGACUUGGUCCUCAGGGUCUCCGGCCUCGGCACAUUAAUCUUCAGACCCGGCUUUUUCGACGCCGAGCUGCCGCCCAGCCCCAAUGGCAGGGCCUUCCAGGGAGUCCCAGUCAGACUGCUCCCCAGCUCCCGCAGCUGCUCGGUCCCUGCAAAGCCCCCGGGAGCGUUUCUACUCUCCCCUGAGCCCACGCCAUCCCGUCACUCCUAGGAAACUUUUCGCGCAGAAACUCCUGGAGAACAGCCCCGGCCGCCAGGAAAGAAGCGUACCCAGGCCGUCUGCUGUGUGCCCACCCCGAUCCCCAUCAGUGCCCCACGCACUCGAGCUCUUCUUCGGCGUCUGCAGCCUCUUCAUCCGCGCGGAGAGGCGGAGGUCUCCCGGAAACAGUGUCCGACUGUGGCACCCCAGAGCGUCCAAUGCGAGCUCAGGCCUUUCCCGCAAGUCUGGAGUUUUCUUAUCCAGUUGAGGCCGCCUUCGCUGUACUCACUCUCUGCCUCCCACCCCAUCUUCUGCCACCCGACCUCCAUCUUUGAUGGUUAGCGCCUUCAGCCCUCAACAGCUUCGCACAACCAACCCCUAGAAGCCGUGGAGUCAGACCGGCCAGGGUGGGACCUAGGUUUUAACUCGGGUUCUGGCUACACACGCUGCGCCUCCAUACAGUUUGUCCCAGGUUUGGCAGCAGGCCGGCUACCUUCAGGAAUUCUUUGCUUUGGCUUCUGUCUGUUCCUGUCUGUUGGGCAAGUUUCUAGCUACCCCACUGAGAGAACCAUAGAACAAGGACCCUGGCAUGGCAUACAGACAAGGAAUGUUUGCUGAAUUAAUGGAGCUGGUGCCUUGCAGCUUCCCUUUUGUUCCUUGAAGUUGCCCUUGCUCUCCUCCACAUCAGCUCCCUCUCCUCCUCAGCUACUUAUUCCCCACCCUGGCUUCUUCUAGUCGCAGUCCCCAAGUACUUGCUGAAUCCUGUAUGGACAGCCUAAGCCUCCAUUUCUGACAAUUCCUGUGGCCCCACUCCAUUUGUUUUUUAGACUUCUCCCUCCUUUUUGUCCCCAUCCCCCAAGUUAUAAAACUAUAAUGCAAU